rnacentral:rRNA from 1 species
CUGACGCUCAUGCACGAAAGCGUGGGUAUCGAACAGGAUUAGAUACCCUGGUAGUCCACGCGGUAAACGAUGAUAACUAGUUAUUCGGCUAAAUUGGUAGCUGAGUGACCGAGCGAAAGCGUUAAGUUAUCCACCUGGGGAGUACGCCGGCAACGGUGAAACUCAAAGGAAUUGACGGGGGCCCGCACAAGCGGAGGAACAUGUGGUUUAAUUCGAUGAUACGCGAGGAACCUUACCCGGGCUCAAACGCAUCGUGCUACGCCCUGAAAGGGGCGGUUCUUCGGACGCGAUGCGAGGUGCUGCAUGGUUGUCGUCAGCUCGUGCCGUGAGGUGUCGGCUUAAGUGCCAUAACGAGCGCAACCCCCAUCUUCAGUUGCCCCCGGGUUAAGCCGGGCACUCUGGAGAGACUGCCGGCGCAAGCUGUGAGGAAGGCGGGGAUGACGUCAAAUCAGCACGGCCCUUACGUCCGGGGCGACACACGUGUUACAAUGGCGGGGUCACAGAGGGGAGCCAGCCGGCGACGGCGAGCUGAUCCCGAAAACCCGUCUCAGUUCGGAUCGGAGUCUGCAACCCGACUCCGUGAAGCUGGAUUCGCUAGUA